ACUCCUACGGGAGGCAGCAGUGGGGAAUAUUGCGCAAUGGGCGUAAGCCAGACGCAGCAACGCCGCGUGAGGGACGACCGCCCUCGGGUUGUAAACCUCUUUCGGCAGGGACGAAGCGAAAGUGACGGUACCUGCAGAAGAAGCACCGGCUAACUACGUGCCAGCAGCCGCGGUAAUACGUAGGGUGCGAGCGUUGUCCGGAAUUAUUGGGCGUAAAGAGCUCGUAGGCGGUACAUCACGUCUGCUGUGAAAUCUCGGGGCUCAACCCCGAACGUGCAGUGGAUACGGGUGAACUCGAGUUCGGAUGGGGAGACUGGAACUCCUGGUGUAGCGGUGGAAUGCGCAGAUAUCAGGAAGAACACCGGUGGCGAAGGCGGGUCUCUGCACAGAUACUGACGCUGAGGAGCGAAAGCGUGGGGAGCAAACAGGCUUAGAUACCCUGGUAGUCCACGCCGUAAACGUUGGGCGCUAGGUGUGGGGGACUUUCCACGUCUUCCGUGCCGCAGCUAACGCAUUAAGCGCCCCGCCUGGGGAGUACGGCCGCAAGGCUAAAACUCAAAGGAAUUGGCGGGGGCCCGCACAAGCGGCGGAGCAUGUUGAUUAAUUCGAUGCAACGCGAAGAACCUUACCUGGGCUUGACAUGUACGGAAAUCCGUCAGAGACGGCGGGUCCGCAAGGGUCGUACACAGGUGGUGCAUGGUUGUCGUCAGCUCGUGUCGUGAGAUGUUGGGUUAAGUCCCGCAACGAGCGCAACCCUCGUCCCACGUUGCCAGCGCGUAAUGGCGGGAACUCAUAGGAGACUGCCGGGGUCAACUCGGA
rnacentral:rRNA from 1 species